GAAACCCUGACGCAGCAACGCCGCGUGAGUGAAGAAGGCCUUCGGGUUGUAAAGCUCUGUUGCCCGGGACGAAUGGGCAGGUUAGGAAAUGCCGUUGCUAUGACGGUACCGGGUGAGGAAGCCCCGGCUAACUACGUGCCAGCAGCCGCGGUAAUACGUAGGGGGCGAGCGUUGUCCGGAGUUAUUGGGCGUAAAGGGCGCGUAGGCGGCCUUCUAAGUCUGAGGUGAAACCCCGCAGCUCAACUGCGGACUGGCCUUGGAAACUGGAGGGCUUGAGGGAGCCAGAGGGGUGCGGAAUUCCCGGUGUAGCGGUGAAAUGCGUAGAAAUCGGGAGGAACACCAGUGUCGAAG
rnacentral:rRNA from 2 species